AUGGGGCGCCAGAUAUUGGGUUUCUCUUAAUCGAGAAUUCAAAGGGAAAUCGGUGAGAAAAAGGCUUCGGCCCUAUUCAAAUCCGGUACUGCCCCCGCAACUGUAAGCGGCUAGCCGAUAUGCCAAAUGCCACUGGAUCACCCGAUCUGGGAAGGCGGCAUGUUCGACAGCGAUCCGCAAGUCAGGAGACCUGCCCUAUAUCGUCGUUCUUC
rnacentral:ncRNA from 2 species